rnacentral:snRNA from 1 species
AAGAAACAGCAACCAUCACACAA